rnacentral:rRNA from 1 species
UACGUAGGGCGCAAGCGUUAUCCGGAAUUAUUGGGCGUAAAGAGCUCGUAGGCGGUUUGUCGCGUCUGCUGUGAAAGACCGGGGCUCAACUCCGGUUCUGCAGUGGGUACGGGCAGACUAGAGGUAGGUAGGGGGAGAAUGGAAUUCCUGGUGUAGCGGUGAAAUGCGCAGAUAUCAGGAGGAACACCGGUGGCGAAGGCGGUUCUCUGGGCCUUACCUGACACUGAGGAGCGAAAGCAUGGGGAGCGAACAGG